CCUACGGGGGGCAGCAGUGGGGAAUAUUGGACAAUGGGGGCAACCCUGAUCCAGCCAUGCCGCGUGUGUGAAGAAGGCCUUCGGGUUGUAAAGCACUUUCAGUAGGGAGGCGUUACCUACAGAAGCAGCACCGGCUAACUUCGUGCCAGCAGCCGCGGUAAUACGAAGGGUGCAAGCGUUAAUCGGAAUUACUGGGCGUAAAGCGCGCGUAGGCGGUUUGGUAAGUGUGAUGUGAAAGCCCCGGGCUCAACCUGGGAACUGCAUCCCAUACUGCCAGGCUAGAGUACGGUAGAGGGGGGUAGAAUUCCACGUGUAGCGGUGAAAUGCGUAGAGAUGUGGAGGAAUACCAGUGGCGAAGGCGGCCCCCUGGAUCGUCUGACGCUGAGGUGCGAAAGCGUGGGGAGCAAACAGGAUUAGAUACCCUUGUAGUC
rnacentral:rRNA from 1 species